CCGGAGGUCACUGCUAUUGGGAUUCGACUAAGCCAUGCGAGUCGAGAGGGUUCGGCCCUCGGCUGACGGCUCAGUAACACGUGGAUAAUCUGCCCUUAGGUGGAGGAUAACCUCGGGAAACUGAGAAUAAUACUCCAUAGGUCUAGGAUGCUGGAAUGCAUCUAGACUGAAAACUCCGGUGCCUAAGGAUGAGUCUGCGGACUAUCAGGUUGUAGUCAGGGUAAAGACCUGACUAGCCUACGACGGAUAUGGGUUGUGAGAGCAAUAACCCAGAGAUGAUAUCUGAGACACGAUAUCAGGCCCUACGGGGCGCAGCAGGCGCGAAAACUUCACACUGUGCGAAAGCACGAUGAGGGAAUCCCAAGUGCCAGCUCGUAAGAGUUGGCUGUUUUUCUGUCUAAAACACAGAGAGAGUAAGAGCUGGGUAAGACGGGUGCCAGCCGCCGCGGUAAUACCUGCAGCUCGAGUGGUGACCGUUAUUAUUGGGCCUAAAACGUCCGUAGCCGGUUUAGUAAAUGCCUGGGUAAAUCGUGUAGCUUAACUAUACGAAUUCCGGGUAGACUGCUAAACUUGAGACCGGGAGAGGCUAGAGGUACUCCUGGGGUAGAGGUGAAAUUCUGUAAUCCUGGGGGGACCACCAGUGGCGAAGGCGUCUAGCUAGAACGGAUCUGACGGUGAGGGACGAAUCCCCUGGGGCGCAACCCGGAUUAGUUAUCC
rnacentral:rRNA from 1 species